UCAAGUGUUCUAGAGCUUGGAAAUUCGUGGGUUUGAGCUCGGAGAGGAGUAUUCGGAUGAUUCGAAGUUUUCGGAGCUAGGGCUUGCUUGGUUGGGCUUGGAUUUCGUUCUUCGACUUCGAGGUGUGAACCCGGAGCAGUAGAAUGGAGCGAAGUGCAUGCAUUCAAGUGCAUAUUUUCAAAAGAAGUGGCCAAAGAGACUCAUGGACGUUUGAUAAAACAUGUUUUGGGAAUGUAAUAGCACCUUAACUCUAUUUCUUUUUAUGAUAUAAUGUAUUCAAACUCUUGGAGUUGGAUCUGUAAUUUAAUGAUUAGAACAUGGUGAACUCUUUUAGGGUAUUAUGUAAGAUAAUGCGAGGAGUUUUAUUUUUGAAAAACUAUCUUUAUUUAUGUUAAAAA